GAUUGUUUAAAGUUUUUGGCCAUUGUGAACAGAAGCUAUAAUGAAUCUCUGUGUGCAAGUCUUUGUGUGGACAUACGGUUUUCACUCCUGUUAGGGCAGGCUGUCAUAAGCUGGGGAAGAGGGCUCAUCCGCGAGUGCACUGUGAAGGAGAAAGACACCUAGGAAGAAAACUUGUGUUCCUGACUAGUCUCUACCCAAGCAUUUGGCUGACAGGUCUAUCCAUGUACUGCCAACUUCUGAUAGGCUCCCUAACAAGAGGUGCUUGCCGGGAAAGAAACCUGCAACCUAGGGAAAAGAAGAUAGUCUGACUGCUGCUUGCACAAAUAGCAGGGAGGCCUUUCUUCAGUACAAUGGACUGACAAUGGGCAUAGGUUUUGUAAGGCUGGAAUAACAAGUUACGAAAUACAACCAUCAUCACAGCUGAGAAGGAUGUGAGAGCCAAUUCUGCACUGCAAUCACCAGCUCACAGCACUUAGUUGAAUGUCUCCUCUCCUCCAAAACCAGAGCCAAGGCCAUCAGCAGAACCCCCAAAGUCAUUUGAGAUGAGAUACUGCAGGAUUAAAUAUGAACUUUUCCUCAAAGGUUUGAUGGAUCAAAGUUAUAGUGUCUUCAGCAAUUUUCAUCCAAUUAUAGUUUGAAGAGUUAAGCUAUAACUUAAACUAAACUUAUAUUUAAGCAAAACCAGCAUAAGUGAAAAAAAUGUACCACUUCAAAACAGAUUUAAAAACAAGAAAUAAAAGCUUAAAAACUUUUGCUAAAAAUUAUCUUCCAAAUAUUCCAUUUGGAAGAAAAGGGGGUAAAACAUACAAUAAAAUGUUAAUUACUUGGAACACAUUUAAGCAGACUUUUCAAUCAUUUGGAUCAUUUUUUGUCUUUUGGUUAUUUUUGAACAAAUAUU